ensembl:lncRNA
GGGGCUGUGGGAUUAUGGGGUUAUGGGGAUUAAUAGGGUUAUGGGUGAUGGGGUUAUGGGGUCAAUGGGGAUGAAUGGGGUUAUGGGGCUAUGGGUGGUGGGGUUAUGGGGUGAUGGGGUCAAUGGGGAUUAAUGGGGUUAUGGAGAUUAAUGGGGUCAAUGGGGAUCAAUGAGGUUAUGGGGUCAAUGGGGAUUAAUGGGGUGGUGGGGUUAUGGGGUUAUGGAGUCAAUGGGGAUUAAUGGGGUUAUGGGGUUACGGAGAUUAAAGGGGUCAAUGGGGAUCAAUGGGGAUAUGGGGUUAUGGGCGAUGGGGUUAUGGGGAUAUAGGGUCAAUGAGGAUUAAUUGGGUUAUGGGGUUAUGGGGAUUAAUGGGGUCAAUGGGGAUCAAUGGGGUGAUGGGGUUAUGGGGUCAAUGGGAAUUAAUGGGGUGGCCCCAUAGGACGUCCCCAAGACCCCAUAGAUCACCUGUAGACCACAUAAAGUGUCCCCAAGAAACCAUAGAUCCCAUAGGAUGCCCCCAGACCCCACGUAUCCCCCCAUAGACCCCAUAGGAUGCCCCGAGACCCCAUAGGAUGCCCCCAGACCCCACGUAUCCCCCCAUAGACCCCAUAGGAUGCCCCCGAGACCCCAUAGGAUGCCCCCAGACCCCACAUAUCCCCCCGAGACCCCAUAGGAUGCCCCUGAGACCCCAUAGGAUGCCCCCAGACCCCACAUAUCCCCCCAUAGACCCCAUAGGAUGCCCCCAGACCCCACGUAUCCCCCCAUAGACCCCAUAGGAUGUCCCCAGACCCCAUAGAAUGUCCCCAUACCCCACGUAUCUCCCCAUAGAAUCCAUAGGAUGUCCCCAAGACCCCAUAGAUCACCCCAUAGACCCCAUAGGAUGUCCCUGAGACCCCAUAUGGUGCUGCUGAGACCCGAUAGAACCCCAUAGAGGUGACAGUGGGACCCCAUGGAGUGCCACCAACCCCACAGAGGUGACAACGGGACCCCAUAUUGGUGACAAUGGGACCCCAUAGACGUGACAACGUGACCCCAUGGAGUGCCACCAACCCCAUAGAGGUGACAAUGGGACCCCAUGGAGUGCCACCAACCCUACAGAGGUGACAAUGGGACCCCAUAGAGGUGACAAUGGGACCCCAUGGAGUGCCACCAACCCCAUAUUGGUGACAAUGGGACCCCAUUGGUGACAGUGGGACCCCAUAUUGGUGACAAUGUGACCCCAUAGAGUGCCACCAACCCCAUAUUGGUGACAAUGGGACCCCAUAGAGUGCCACCAACCCCACAGAGGUGACAAUGGGACCCCAAGGAGUGCCACCAACCCCAUAGAGGUGACAAUGGGACCCCAUGGAGUGCCACCAACCCCAUAUUGGUGACAAUGGGACCCCAUAGACAUGACAACGUGACCCCAUAGAGUGCCACCAACCCCAUAGAGGUGACAAUGGGACCCCAUAGAGUGCCACCAACCCCAUAGAGGUGACAAUGGGACCCCAUUGGUGACAGUGGGACCCCAUAUUGGUGACAAUGGGACCCCAUAGAGUGCCACCAACCCCAUAGAGGUGACAAUGGGGCCAACGUCAGCACCCGGGAGGGGACGUCGAGGAGUGUCACCGUAUGGGGGUGACUCACGGGGGCGCCCCCACCCACCUCAGGGCGGUGUCACCGCGUCACCUCCCUCCCUUAUCUUAUCGGCGCCGUGGGGUGGGGGUGGGGCUCUCCCUAUAGGGCCACCCAUCCCCGUCCCGCCCCCUUUUUUGGGGGGUCAAAU